rnacentral:snoRNA from 1 species
CGAGAAGUGAGGAUUGGGUUAAUCUUGCGUUAACCAUGCUUGAGGGCUGUGUUCGCCCAACAUUUUGUUACGACUAACAGAACAGCCUAGGAUAACAUCUGAUCUC